rnacentral:rRNA from 1 species
CGACCUCAAAUCAGGUAGGACUACCCGCUGAACUUAAGCAUAUCAAUAAGCCGGAGGA